CAGAGACCACGUGGCACCAGGAGAGAAAGAGCCAGCAUCUCAGAGAGCCUUCGCAGUCAGAGACGGACGCGAGCCCACAGGGCCAGGCGGCUGACCGGCACUGAAGAGUCACGCCGCCGAGUGGAAGAGGAAUGCAGACGUGAUGGGAACUCCCGUGGGUUGGAAUGAACCUGCCAGGAGAUGUCAGCAAGACGACGCAUUCAGCAGAUGUGCAAGAGACCAGGGCAGAGGCGGUCGUAGCUGGGCUGAGGUCUACCCACCACGGGCAGGAGUCAAUGGGCAGGAGUUGGAGGAAUCGCAAGAGCCAGGCUCCAUAAGCCAGAGCCCAGAAAUCUGACAUUGCAACAAGCCAACAUCUGUAUGGCUGCUCAGACAAUGCCAACCCCUGGGGUUAAAUAGGGAGCUUGGCCAAUCGGAGGGCCACAAGGUACAGUCGCUCUGGGUCUCUUGAGCGGGACAUCCUGCAGUGCCUACUCUCCAUAAUGUUCCCUGGCUAUGCCUCUGCAUGGUCUCCCAAUGGCACCGUGGGACUCUUGGCUGUCCUAGACUCAGCAGACCUGGGUUCUAGUCCUGGGGUCCUUUAACAGUGAGCAUUUCAAGGUGG